rnacentral:lncRNA from 1 species
GACAUCAAUCCUUCAACAUGAGCUUGGGAAGCAGAGUCUAUGAGUUACAACCGUUUCACUAGCAGACACCAUCUCAUUGAGUAGAGAUGACUGAGUAUAAUCGAAUCAAGCUCGAACAAAACAAAACCUCGAGUAACAAAAUAGAUUGGCCGGAAGUGUUUCUCAGCGUCUUAUUCAGAGUACAUGUCAAGCGCACUUCUACAAGAAGGCUGGAAAUUUUUGUGGCGGCCUCGGAUUCUAGUAGUUGCUGGUGUAGAAUUUCUUCAGGAACUCGGAGCUCCCCUGGUCCUUUUCCAGGUCCUGCACCAGCCCCUUGUGGCCAACCACGUAUUGCCCGAUGAUGUGGUGGCGCUGCUUCGCGUGCUCGGUGAUGUUGUUCAGCUCCUCCAUCCCGUUGAAGAGAAGCAUAUCAAUGACCUGUUUGUUCGCACGCAAGUCAGCACAAAUCAGCAGAGAUGUACACUAAGAUUGAGGGAGAUAGAAAUGCUUUUCUGGCAUUGUGGUGCCAUUACAGUGAUAUAAGAAUGGCUGCUAGAUGUUUCAGAGGCUAGUGCUAGAUUCUACUCCCUCUGUAAAGAAAUAUAAGAGUGUUUAGAUCACUAAAAUAGUGAUCUAAACGCUCUUAUAUUUAUUAACGGAGGGAGUAUAAUGCAGACCACAAAUGGUACGGAAUAGAAAUAUUGAAGUGUGUUGACAAGCACUCUAGCAAAGGGCAAAAUUAAGGUGUUCAAUAAGAAAGUGCAGACUGAAGUUUCUGCAAACACAGAUAAUAUCACUUCGUAUCACCAAGAUGGCAGAAUUUUUGUUAUAUUGAAAAAUUGAAUACAUAUUUUAUCGAUCCUUCCUACUCAAUCCCCGAGUCUGCCGGAAUAUAAAAAACAAUAAAGAAUUAUCCUAAUCUAAAUGCCUACUCACUAAACUGAAAUUAAUUUAGAAUGUUGAGUGCAAGGUUCAGGCGAGGAACCAAAUCCUAUUCAAUGCCAAUUCCACCUAAAGUCAGCACAUGCUACUUGUCGAAAGGAGAGGCAAAAAGAUAGCGAAGUAAAAUAGGCCUAAAGGAUAGCAAAACAAAAUUGUUACGGAUCGAAUAUGAGUGCUGGGAAUCAGACUUGAGCACUCUUACUCAAUAAAACCGGUCAAGCCCAGUAAGCGGAAAUAUGAUCUAGUUACAACUCCAGCUAAAUCUCAGAAAAUUACGUACAAACAUUUUCCAUCGCAAUUGCACACAGCUGAUAGCAAGUUGGCAUUAAACAAUCUCCGUUUGAUGAAGUUCGCAGUAUUGUACAUCCAAAUGGACUAAUUGACAGCUUCUAGUGAAAGCAAUAAAAAAAUGAUUAAAUUAUUACACUAUCAUCUAGAAAUUAUAACACUUGGCUAGCAGACAACUUGGUUGUCUGUCCACGGGGCCAUAGUUGCCAUGAACCCGGGUAGACCUCCAAAGUCAGGAGUAAAAUAAUUAGGACUGAAACUCUAGCUGGUGAAUAUAUCUUCAAGAAUGACAAUUUAACCCAAUUCUUCGGUUUCUCCAAGUUACCAGUGAUAUGAUUAAGCAAGAGGAUAAUCAAGUUAGUUGACUUGUUACAAAAUAUGAAUCUACCUUGAGACUCAAGCUUAACUUGCAACCAACAUUGUGUAGUUGUGAAUGCUAUAUUUUUUGACUGAAAUUUGUGUAUGAUAAAGUAUGUAUAUCUUACUCCAUCAUGUCUUAUACUCAUACAAAUCCAGAUUGAUAUGUCAAUUAUUUCUUGUAGUAAACAGGUAUAAUGCUUUUGUUACAUGAUUAACUACUGCUAUAUUUGGAAGCCACUAUAAUUUCAUUUCAAAUGAUACAUUUGUUUUCUUCUGAUAUAACUUAAAGAGUUAUAUCCUCUAUCGAAGUAUCCUCACAUCAUAAGGUAGCUCAUAGAGACUAGAGGCUGGAAAUUUACGGAACCUAUAUUUCAUCGUUUACACUGCCCGUGAUACUACUCUGGAACCUGGAGGCACCAAAUAUUGGUCUACGUUUUGUUUUGGCUUAGAAGGUAUGAACAAAUUGUGUGGUUCCUGUUAUCUAUUGGUGGUCAAUAAUGCCAAUCAAUUUAGGAGGAUACUGGUCUAAUUUAAGGUUAACUGUUUUUUCCCCACCAGAUCUAGAACCACACUGUAUAACUAUGCCUAACUACUUACAUACCAGUGGUGAAGCAUAUAAUGAAAUUUGGCAUCUAUUCUUGCGCAGAAGCAGCAACAGAACACAAUUAAAUAAUUGAAUACAAUACAUAAGGACCUUCCUAAUUCCACAAUGGGUAAUCAACCGCAAAAACAUCGAGUUGCCAUAUAUUACAAAGAAGCAGCUAGGAACCGGGUUCUUAGCAGCAUAUAAACAAGUGCAGAUAAGCACUUUACGGACGUUGUAGCCUCUGGCUAAUCCAGAAAUCCAGGGCAGUGAGCACCUUCAUGCAAAACGGCCGACCCAUAGGUGGACAAAAUACUACCUACAGAGCCUCGUUGCUAGUCCUGGAAGGGCAGGGUUGCCACACUGCAGUCAAGUGCCACUAGAAACAAGGAGUUGUCAGCCCGUAAUCCUGCGAAAAUUGCCAGCAAGGUCAACUGCUACCUAUCCAUCCAACAAGGCGUACCGAUUAUGCAUCGGCGAUUCCCAGUCCCCCAAAGAAACAUACAUCAGAUUUGCGCAGAGAGCGCGUCCCCCAAAGAAGGAUCGGACAGCGACUGGAUCGAAGAGGACGACAACGCGUUCGCUCUUCGUUCUACAUCUAUCCAUUUGCGAGGGGCGGAUCGAAAUGGGGUGGGAAAAGGGGCACCUUGGGGUCGGAGACGCCCUGGUUCUUCCGGAUCUGCUGGGAGAUGCUGGCGCGGAGCUGGGCGGGGGUCACGACGUCGUCGAGGUUGUAGAUCUCCAUGAUGGAGGGGAUGGCGCGGCAGGCCUGCCUGAAGAAGUCGAACACGCGGUGCCGCGCCUCCCCCAUCGACGCCGAGUUCGGCGGAACCUUCACCGCGCGCAUGGUGAACGCCAUCUCUUCGCCCUGACCCCGCUUCGCCUCGUAUGUCCGGCCCCCGCCCUCUCGCUCGCCGCCGCCCUCUCGCUCGCCGCCCGUCCUCAGGUGGCUCCUCCGCUUGGUGGUGGUGGUGAGAUGAGAGGUAGCUCGGUGCUCUCCGCUUGGGCAAAUGUUCUCCUGUCGAUAGCGGGCCGUCCGCGUCUACCUCGAGAUGGAGAUGGGCCGCGUGAGCACUGGGGCCUUGAAGGCGACCAGGACAAGACUAAAGGCCCAAUUAGCUUUCACAGCCAGCAACACUCACUUUUUUUUUUUGAAUGCCAACCCCAGCAACGCUCACUCUUUGCCUUCGAGUAAACUUACCAACUUCUCAGAAAAUUUACUACUACAUCCCAGGGGUACCAGAUUUUAGUACAUGACCAACAGAGAAUUCGACGAUUGUGAAUGAACAGUUGUAGAAGUACCUAAGGUAACGUUUUCGUGGCAUUUCCUCGAUCUCUUCUCUCACCAAAAUUGUGAAACUUUUGCAAGUGAACCAAUAAUUUAGGGCCGGUUUCGGGGUUGUUCCACUCUCAAAAUUACAAGCCAAAUGGAGUGGAUUCACUAUGCCUUGCUUUGAAAAAAAUACUCAAAUUUGGGGUUAACUUCGUGUUUUUUGUGAAGCUCCUCGAGGGUGGGGGACUCCAAAAACUCUAGUUUGAAGAGUCCUCGUGGAGUUGAGAAAAAAUUACCCACCACGGACCCAUAAGUGGAUAACAAUUCGUUCUUCUCCCCAUCAUGCAAGCAACCCCUCUUCCUCCUCGCCUGUUCGACCCCUUCCUCACUCAUGCACAAAAGCGCCCCCCCCCCCUAGCGGCACCACCACCGUGAAAUCGGGCUGCCAGGAGGUCGGCCCCGAUGAGGUAACCGACAGAAUGAGUAAAAUGCACAGAACCACCACUUUAGCGCCAUGGCUCUCGUAAAAUCAUCAUUUUACAAAACGUGACACUUUGCACCGCACCGGAAUUUUGACAGUGGCAAAAAACAUUGAACCCAAAAAUGAUCUUGUUUUGACGUGGCCAAUCGCGCGUGGGCCAACGUCAGGGGACGGCGCGCCGCUAACGGCCGUUCGGCCGUGGCAGAUGCGGGCGGGUCGACGCGCUGGCUGGCUGGCUGGCUCGUUCGCCCCGUAGCCAGUCGGUUAGUGGGUCCGUUCGUUAUUUUCAGCAACCGUUGGUCAUUCGCAUUGUCGCCUUGGUCGUUUGGUUUCACAUUGAAUCCAUAAACCCUCAGUCUUCGCUCCUCCCCGCAUUGAGUGCAUGUCACUUCGCUCGCACGGAAAACCACCACCGCUACUCUCUCCCAUCCUCUCGCCCCUAUCCUCUCACCAUCCACCACCCACCACUCACCGUCGAUGCGGCCACCCUUGCUGAUGUCGAAGUCGAAGCUGAUGUGUAGUUGGGAGAGGGUCGUAGACAACUGGGCCGGCGAUGACUCAACCAAGAAGGCCAUCGGCAGGGACCUCGCCGAGCGGUUCAAGAGCGUGCCCGCACUAGUCAACCACGCUAGUGGUCUCUUGCCGGUGUUCACCGAUGACGGGGGUAUAUGCGUCCUCGUGUGGUGCAUGUUUGAGUCGAUGUCCAGCGAUGCCUGAUAACGCAAUCGCUGGAUCAUGUAUCGGCCGCUGAAAAGCAGGUUUUCGGUAGAUCCAACAGAAGCGGACGUGCUGGUCAAGGUGGGCUUGUCGGACCGUGUCGACAACGAGUACAAAGUCCUCGUCCACAACCCCCCCCCCCCCAUGGCACAUCUCGUUAUUUCCAUUGACAGUGAGGAGCCGAAGGUGCAAGUCGUCGCUUGCCCUUGCGGUGCAUGGGCGGCCGUCGACAGAGAGAGGCAGAAGCCAAUCGACGUGGAGGUGAUGCCCGACGUGGAGGUACCUAUGAAGCUGGAGGAGCAGGAGCAGAAGCAGCCAGAGGAGGUGGAGCCCUUGGUGCAGAAGUAGAAGAAGGAGAGGAAGCCUCCUCUUUGACACUCUGCUCGCCUCACUGCUGCACGGCCGGUGCCUGCUACUUGUGAACUGCAUUGCAUUUAUUCCCUAAAGAGGAAGGGAGAUGCAGUAUAGUAGAGAUAAGUAUUUCCCUCAGUUAAGAACCAAGGUUAUCAAUCCAGUAGGAGAACCACACAAUUACUUAGUGAACAACACCUGCACGCACGAACCAAAUACUCAUAGCAACGCUUGCAAGAGGGUUGCCAAUCCUCUAGUACUAGUUAAUGCAAGGAUAAAAUCUAGUAUUGGUGAAAGAUAAAUUACUAAACUAAAUAAAUUGCAGCAAAGUAUUUUUUAGUAUGAUAAAGGCAAGACCCGGGGGCCAUAGUUUUCACUAGAGGCUUCUCU